GUCUAUGGUUAUACCACCCUGAGUGUGUUUGACCUCAGAAGCUAGGAAGGGUCAGCCCUAGUCAGGACUUGGAUGGGAGACUGCUUGCAAAUACUGGAUACUGUUAGCU
rnacentral:rRNA from 1 species